GAUGAACGCUGGCGGCGUGCCUAAUACAUGCAAGUCGAGCGAACGGACGAGAAGCUUGCUUCUCUGAUGUUAGCGGCGGACGGGUGAGUAACACGUGGAUCACCUACCUAUAAGACUGGGAUAACUUCGGGAAACCGGAGCUAAUACCGGAUAAUAUUAUGAACCGCAUGGUUCAAAAGUGAAAGACGGUCUUGCUGUAACUUAUAGAUGGAUCCGCGCUGCAUUAGCUAGUUGGUAAGGUAACGGCUUACCAAGGCAACGACGCAUAGCCGACCUGAGAGGGUGAUAGGCCACACUGGAACUGGAACGCGGUCCAGACUCCUACGAGAGGCAGCAGUAGGGAAACGUCCGCAGUAGUCGAAAACCUGACGGAGCAACGCCGCGUGAGAGAUAGAGGUCUUCGGAUCGUAAUGCUCUGUUAUUAGGGAAGAACAUAUGUGUAAGUAACUGUGCACAUCUUGACGGUACCUAGUCAGAAAGCCACGGCUAACUACGUG
rnacentral:rRNA from 1 species